rnacentral:rRNA from 1 species
AAGGGGUGGAGCUGAACAGUACCGGAAGAAUAAGCACCGGCUAACUACGUGCCAGCAGCCGCGGUAAUACGUAGGGUGCAAGCGUUAAUCGGAAUUACUGGGCGUAAAGCGUGCGCAGGCGGUGAUGUAAGACAGAUGUGAAAUCCCCGGGCUCAACCUGGGAACUGCGUUGGUAACUGCAUGACUAGAGUGUGGCAGAGGGGGGUGGAAUUCCGCGUGUAGCAGUGAAAUGCGUAAAUAUGCGGAGGAACACCGAUGGCGAAGGCAACCCCCUGGGAUAACACUGACGCUCAUGCACGAAAGCGUGGNGGAGCAAACA